GAUGAACGCUAGCGAUAGGCUUAACACAUGCAAGUCGAGGGGCAGCAUGGUCUUAGCUUGCUAAGACUGAUGGCGACCGGCGCACGGGUGCGUAACGCGUAUGCAACUUGCCUCACAGAGGGGGAUAACCCGUCGAAAGACGGACUAAUACCGCGUACACUUGGAGGGAGGCAUCACCCAUCAAGGAAAAGAAAUUCGCUGUGAGAUAGGCAUUCGUCCCAUUAGCUAGUUGGUGAGGUAACGGCUCACCAAGGCAACGAUGGGUAGGGGAACUGAGAGGUUGAACCCCCACACUGGUACUGAGACACGGACCAGACUCCUACGGGAGGCAGCAGUGAGGAAUAUUGGUCAAUGGGCGAGAGCCUGAACCAGCCAAGUCGCGUGAAGGAUGACUGUCUUAUGGAUUGUAAACUUCUUUUGUAGGGGAAUAAAGAACGGUACGUGUACCGUAGUGAAUGUACCCUACGAAUAAGCAUCGGCUAACUCCGUGCCAGCCGCCGCGGUAA
rnacentral:rRNA from 1 species